UACGGAGGGUGCAAGCGUUGUCCGGAUUUAUUGGGUUUAAAGGGUGCGUAGGCGGCCGAUUAAGUCUGGGGUGAAAGCCCGUUGCUCAACAACGGAACUGCCCUGGAAACUGGUCGGCUUGAGUACAGACGAGGGUGGCGGAAUGGAUGCUGUAGCGGUGAAAUGCAUAGAUAGCAUCCAGAACCCCCGAUUGCGAAGCAGCUGCCUAGACUGUA
rnacentral:rRNA from 1 species